rnacentral:tRNA from 1 species
GUUUCGAUAGCUUAAUUCAAAGCAUAACAUUGAAGCUGUUAAUAUGAGUCAAUUCUCUCGAAACA